rnacentral:rRNA from 1 species
GACAGAGGGUGCAAGCGUUGUUCGGAAUUACUGGGCGUAAAGCGCGUGUAGGCGGUUCGGCAUGUCGGGUGUGAAAUCCCCUGGCUUAACCAGGGAAGUGCACUCGAAACUGCCGGGCUAGAGUUCAAGAGAGGAGGGUGGAAUUCCCAGUGUAGAGGUGAAAUUCGUAGAUAUUGGGAGGAACACCGAUGGCGAAGGCAGCCCUCUGGCUUGUUACUGACGCUGUGACGCGAAAGCGUGGGGAG